rnacentral:misc_RNA from 1 species
GUGCAUCGAACUGUCGAGCCAUGAUCUCCUCGCUUGAAGCCCGUUUGCAUGACGUGCUUGAUGGGCAAAGGUCGGGUUCCUGUGCUGCGUACCCACGGAAGUGGAAAUCGAUUUGUUGCUUUGGCAAUUUCGCCCGAUGCCCUAUCUAGGGCAUGAGGUGAACAUGGUAGCGCCUCUUGUGUUCCAAACAUGUCGAUUUGACUGUUGUGGCACAUGGAAGGUUGCUCGUGCUUUGGGAUGCGGAAAGCUUUGUGUGGCUGAGGGAUGACAUCUCUCGAUUGCUUAAAUUGUCCCUGAUAUAUGAACGACUGCAACUCUCGUUUCUAGCUCAGGUAAUGCUUGGCUUUGCUGGCUGCCAUGGACUAGAGCGGUUGUUGAGGUUGUGUAGGAAUGC